AGCCAAUCAGGGCGCGCGUUUUUCUUUAUGAUACGUUAUACAAUGGCGGAAAUAGAGUAGUAGAAUUUCAGAGGAUUGAUUUUUUUUCCUCUCAAACAUUGAUUCUAAAAAAAUAUAUAAAUAAUAAGAACUUCAUCACUUUACUCUGAAAUCUGAUGCUCAUAUUUUUCAGCACUAUUGCACUGUGACAUUCUCAAUAUAUAGAGGAACCAGAUAUCAUCCAACACUUCCUUACCCACAUCAUAUUAAUACCAAGUUACCAACACCUACUGUGAUCUAACAAAACCAGCACCAUGCAAGAGUUGGCCUCUGCACCAGUCUGGUUUCCUUGGUGGAUUAUGGGUUCAGGCGCAAUUGCCCAAUGAGGUACUGAGAUAGGCUUUAGAGCCAUCAGCAAUUCUACUAUGCGCCCUGAAGAAAUGGAGGGUAUAACUGGGGUACAGAAAACAAUGGCCUCAGGAGUUGAAAAGGCUAAAUGAGUUCUUCUGCCUACAGCAAUGGAAGUACAGUCCCUUCUCAGCAGGAUUUAGAGGGUCUCUCUGCGUUGUUUCUCCACAGUACAUUAUACUUAUCUUCAGUUCGAUGAACAGUAUUGACAAAUAUAAUUAUAUUCUUUUUUCA